rnacentral:rRNA from 1 species
UACAGAGGGUGCGAGCGUUAAUCGGAAUUACUGGGCGUAAAGCGCACGUAGGUGGCGACGUAAGUCGGGUGUGAAAGCCCCGGGCUCAACCUGGGAAUUGCAUUCGAGACUGCAUUGCUGGAGUACGGAAGAGGAGGGCGGAAUUCCCGGUGUAGCGGUGAAAUGCUUAGAGAUGACAUAGAACACCUAUUGCGAAGGCAGCUUACUACGCCUAUAUUGACGCUGAGGCACGAAAGCGUGGGGAUCAAACAGG